rnacentral:rRNA from 1 species
UACAGAGGUCUCAAGCGUUGUUCGGAAUCACUGGGCGUAAAGCGUGCGUAGGCUGUUUCGUAAGUCGUGUGUGAAAGGCGCGGGCUCAACCCGCGGACGGCACAUGGUACUGCGAGACUAGAGUAAUGGAGGGGGAACCGGAAUUCUCGGUGUAGCAGUGAAAUGCGUAGAUAUCGAGAGGAACACUCGUGGCGAAGGCGGGUUCCUGGACAUUAACUGACGCUGAGGCACGAAGGCCAGGGGAGCGAAAGGG